rnacentral:rRNA from 1 species
CGGUCCUAAGGUAGCGAAAUUCCUUGUCGGGUAAGUUCCGACCUGCACGAAUGGCAUAACGAUGGCCACACUGUCUCCUCCUGAGACUCAGUGAAGUUGAAGUGUUUGUGAUGAUGCAAUCUCCCCGCGGCUAGACGGAAAGACCCCAUGAACCUUUACUGUAGCUUUGCAUUGGACUUUGAACCGAUCUGUGUAGGAUAGGCGGGAGCCUGUGAAACCACAACGCCAGUUGUGGCGGAGGCGUCCUUGAAAUACCGCCCUGAUUUGUUUGAGGUUCUAACCUGGGACAGUUAUCCUGUCCGGGGACCGUGCAUGGUAGGCAGUUUGACUGGGGCGGUCGCCUCCUAAAGGGUAACGGAGGAGUGCGAAGGUACGCUAGGUACGGUCGGAAAUCGUGCUGAUAGUGCAAUGGCAAAAGCGUGCUUGACUGCGAGACCCACAAGUCGAGCAGAUACGAAAGUAGGUCAUAGUGAUCCGGUGGCUCUGUAUGGAAGGGCCAUCGCUCAACGGAUAAAAGGUACUCUGGGGAUAACAGGCUGAUACCGCCCAAGAGUUCAUAUCGACGGCGGUGUUUGGCACCUCGAUGUCGGCUCAUCUCAUCCUGGGGCUGUAGCCGGUCCCAAGGGUAUGGCUGUUCGCCAUUUAAAGAGGUACGUGAGCUGGGUUUAAAACGUCGUGAGACAGUUUUGUCCCUAUCUGCCGUGGGCGCUGGAAGAUUGACGGGGGCUGCUCCUAGUACGAGAGGACCGGAGUGGACGCACCUCUGGUGUACCGGUUGUCACGCCAGUGGCAUCGCCGGGUAGCUAUGUGGGGAAGAGAUAACCGCUGAAAGCAUCUAAGCGGGAAACUUGCCUGAAGAUAAGUCUUCCUGGAGGCUAGACCUCCCUAAAGAGUCGUUCGAGACCAGGACGUUGAUAGGAUGGGUGUGUAAGUGCUGUGAGGCACUCAGCUAACCAUUACUAAUUGCUCGUGAAGCUUGAUCCU